rnacentral:rRNA from 1 species
GAUGAACGCUGGCGGCGUGCCUAAUACAUGCAAGUCGAACGCAUAGCGAAAGGUGCUUGCACCUUUCAAGUGAGUGGCGAACGGGUGAGUAACACGUGGACAACCUGCCUCAAGGCUGGGGAUAACAUUUGGAAACAGAUGCUAAUACCGAAUAAAACUUAGUGUCGCAUGACACAAAGUUAAAAGGCGCUUCGGCGUCACCUAGAGAUGGAUCCGCGGUGCAUUAGUUAGUUGGUGGGGUAAAGGCCUACCAAGACAAUGAUGCAUAGCCGAGUUGAGAGACUGAUCGGCCACAUUGGGACUGAGACACGGCCCAAACUCCUACGGGAGGCUGCAGUAGGGAACCUUCCACAAUGGGCGAAAGCCUGAUGGAGCAACGCCGCGUGUGUGAUGAAGGCUUUCGGGUCGUAAAGCACUGUUGUAUGGGAAGAACAGCUAGAAUAGGAAAUGAUUUUAGUUUGACGGUACCAUACCAGAAAGGGACGGCUAAAUACGUG